AUUGAACACUGGCGGCAGGACUAACACAUGCAAGUCGAGCGAGCGGCGGACGGGUGAGUAAUGUGUGGGAAACUGACUCAUGGAGGGGGAUAACUACUGGAAACGGUAGCUAAUACCGCAUACCAUCAGAUGUGCCCAUAUGGGAUUAGCUAGUAGGUGGGGUAAUGGCUCACCUAGGCGACGCUCCCUAGCUGGUCUGCGAGGAUGACCAGCCACACGGGAACUGAGACACGGUCCAGACUCCUACGGGAGGAAGCAGUGGGGAAUAGUGCACAAUGGGCGCAAGACUGAUGCAGCCAUGCCGCGUGUAUGAAGAAGGCCUUCGGGUUGUAAAGUACUUUCAGCGAGGAGGCGUUACUCGCAGAAGAAGCACCGGCUAACUCCGUGCCAGCCGCCGCGGUAAUAC
rnacentral:rRNA from 1 species